AAGCCAAGGCUCUAGAAGCUGUUUUUGUCUAACAGUUGAGAGUUGCAACCGCUGAAUGGGAACAGAUGAGGCAAGCGAACCUCAUGUGCAAUUAGGCCAAUGUGGAGCUAUUCACAUUUGGAGGCUUGGUAGGCAAUUUCACAUUCUUCUGGAGCUAAGCCAACCGACGGGCUGUGACAUGAGAUAAUCGGUGCCACUGAUGUGUGAAGGUCUCGUGAGAGAUGACAGACACGCUGCGGAAACAGGCAUCGGAGGGUCUCUGCCGGUGAGCAAAAAGACCUUGAGAGUCUAAGGACAAGUUAUAUCAGGAAGUCAAAAUGUACUUCAGGCUUGUGGAGGACCAAGGGCAACAGAGCAAGAAUGAUUUCCAGCCCCAGCAGCCCAACAGGACACCCACCAAGAGGGGAGGAGGGCUGAGUGCAGACUUCUAAAGCUAGAUUUCCCCAGAGGCACCGGUUGGUGAGG
ensembl:lncRNA novel transcript